rnacentral:rRNA from 1 species
AUUAGAAAUGGGCGAAAGCCUGAUCUAGCAACACCGCGUGUGCGAUGAAGGCCUUCGGGUUGUAAAGCACUUUUUGGAGGGAAUAGGAAGGAAGGUACCUCCAGAAUAAGUCUCGGCUAACUACGUGCCAGCAGCCGCGGUAACACGUAGGAGGCAAACGUUAUCCGGAUUCAUUGGGCGUAAAGCGCGUGUAGGUGGUUCUGUAAGUAGGGCGUGAAAGCUCCCGGCUCAACUGGGAGAGGCCGUACUAAACUGCAGAGCUAGAGGAUGGUAGAGGGAGGUGGAAUUCCAGGUGUAGUGGUGAAAUGCGCAGAUAUCUGGAGGAACACCAGUGGCGAAGGCGGCCUCCUGGACCAUUCCUGACACUCAGACGCGAAAGCUAGGGUAGCAAACGGAAUUAGAGACUCCGGUAGUCCUAGCCCUAAACGAUGCAGACUAGGCGUCGGCGGUUUAAUCACCGUCGGUGUCCAAGCUAACGCGAUAAGUCUGCCGCCUGAGGACUACGGCCGCAAGGCUAAAACUCAAAGGAAUUGACGGGUCCCCGCACAAGCAGCGGAGCGUGUGGUUUAAUUCGAUGCUCCGCGAAGAACCUUACCUGGGUUUGACAUAACAGUGGUAGAGAAGUGAAAACGGAUCGACCCUUCGGGGAGCUGUUACAGGUGUUGCAUGCCUGUCGUCAGCUCGUGUCGUGAGAUGUUCGGUUAAGUCCGCUAACGAGCGCAACCCGCGCUGUGUGUUACAAGUANCAACCAGUACCGCCGGUAUUAAGUCGGAGGAAGGUGCGGAUGACGUCAAGUCAGCAUGACCUUUAUAUCCAGGGCUACACACACGCUACAAUGGUCAGAACAAUAGNNNGCCAAGCCGCAAGGCGGAGCCAAUCCUCCAAAUCUGGCCUCAGUUCAGAUUGCAGGCUGCAACUCGCCUGCAUGAAGUCGGAGUUGCUAGUAACCGCAGGUCGGCAUACUGCGGUGAAUACGUUCCCGGGGAUUGCACUCACCGCCCGUCAAG